AUUCUAUUUCUUCUCUGUGUUCUCUCUACCAGCGCCGCACCACAUUUCUUCUCUGUGUUCUCUCAACCAGCGGUGCACUUCUAACCCACCAGCCCGAUCGUCGCCGCCUGCCGGUAAGUCCAUUCUUACUCUGCCAUCGUCUUCUUCGAACUUCAUUUGCAGUCGAUGGCAAUGCUGGAGUACGGUCGUCAGCCACCUCAGUCCAUCGUAUCUAAUUACGAGAGAGAGAGAGACAGAGAGAGCAGGGUACCGAUCAUUCGAUCAAUUACCUCACGCAUCUCAGUUCCAGAUUUGAAGUACUCAAGAAGAAAGGGAAAGGACGAACGAAGCUUGCGUGCUUGAGCACUCCUUCUGAUUCACUUCAUACAUCUCAUAAAGUAAUAAGGUAGAAGGAUGCAGAAAUUGGGAGAUUUCAAGCUGCCCCACUUCUUCAAUUAUCCACCAUACUUCACGUAAUAGCUUGUGCUUUUGACUUGUUACCUAUAAAAGAAAAAUGAAAAACAGUUUGCUUUCCUUUUUUUAAAAAAAUAUAUUUUCUUAAGUACUUAUGAAGCUGGAGAGAUUUGUU